rnacentral:lncRNA from 1 species
GAUGACAUUUGAUGUUGUGUUCUCUUUUCUUAUUUUGAAUUUUUAGCAUAUAAUUUGCAUUCAUAUUUGUGCAUUGAAAACCCCUAAAAAUUUGAAAAAUUUUCAGAAAAAAAAAUCUUUAAAAAACAGAGUGAUCAUGUAGCUUGCAUUUGCAUAUUAGGAUUGAGUCUAGACUGUUUCAUAUAGGACUGUUGCAUUAGCAUAGGGGGCGAUGAUGAUUUACACCUAGUUGAUUUGCUAUGAUUCACUAGUUGAGAUCAAUGCCCUGGUUGUUAGCUUUUUGAUACAUGAUGAUUGAACUUGAAGUAAGUCUGAAACAAACUUGGAAUUCAUGGAGAGUAUUCUUGAAAUUAGUUGAAACAUGUUGCAAAUAUCUGGUUGUGUUUUGCUUGCAUGCUCAUGGUCACCACAUACAUAUUUUGAUCAUCUUCCUCCUUUCACCAAUCUUGUUGAUCCAAGUAGCUGAUCUUUCUUUUGAUCAGUUUGCCAUACCCACAGCCUAUCCUUUUCUUUCAAGCCAAUUGAUAAUUUUUGAGUGGUAGGUCUUUUACCGGAUUAUGCUUGGGGAGAACGUGUUAGGUAUGAGCCGACAGGAUUAAAAUCUUGAGUAGUUCUGAUUUUCACUUUUAAAUCAGAUAGGACUACGUCUGGAUUCUUACUUGGGUUUGGGAUUGGAAUGAUUGUGAAAAAAGAAGAGAAACAGAAAAAGUUGUGUCCUUAGGAGGAGAAUGUUUUCUAGAAGUUUAUACUCUAGUGAUUGAUUUUUGUGGGGAUAGCACGAUAUACAGAGAAUGGUUCUGGGAUGUAAAGAAAGAGAAAAAGUUUUGAUGUCUUAUAACGUAAGAAGAAAACAGAACCAUAGUAAAGAAGAAACUCUCUAUCCACUAGUAUUGAUAAGAAACUUCUCCUAAGGCAAAAAGAAAAAAAAUGAGAUUGAUGUUGAAGGGUAGACAAAGGGAUCCUUCGGGUUUAGAUGAUUAGGAGUAAGCACUUGGGAACCAUUGGGUAGUCAAGGUUUUAUUCUUGUAUGCAUUUAUUGUUACUUACCUUUAGCAUUCUCCCUAAAGCUCAAUCCAUUCAUUGAGAGAUCCUUGUCCUGAAAUUGUUUAAACCCCCUUGAUUCUCAAAACCUUUUUCUGCCUAGCCAAGUGAGUUUGUUAAGCCUUGCACGACCAGAUUCAUAUACUUGAUUAAUGAAUGUUAAACGGAAUGAAUGAUUUGAAUGCAUGUGUAGAUCAAGGGAUAGAAUAAGUUUCGGAUUUGAAGAGUUUGUCUAAAGUCUUUAAGUAAAGUUCUCUCAGCAUGCAUCAAAGACUUAGCAACCAGGACAUUGAUUUUAACUGCUCUAUCUUGCAAGUUACAGGUUCUGAGACCCCAUUUUCAAACCUCUCUUCCACUUUGUUUCUUUUUGCUUUGCUUGAGGGCAAGCAAAGACUAAGUUUGGGGGAGUUGAUAAGUCUGUAUUACAUCACUUUUUGAGCAUGCAUUCAUCAUCUUUUCAGCAUCAUUCACUUGUUGAUUCGCAUCAUAUUGAUACCUUUCUGCAUUAUUUACAUACUUAGGUAGGUUUUAUGCAUAUCAUGCAUAUCUUGCAUACAUUGUGCAUAUUUGGAGUGUUUCAGGUACUUAGGAGACAUGCAGAGCGAAGCAGAGGAACAAGCGUUACUCGACAUGCAUACGAUCGAGUGAGCAGCAGAAGGGACGCGAAGCAGAACCAUCUGUCACUCGAUGCACACACUCGAGUGACAUGAUCGAGCAAAGCAAAGAAGUAGCUGAUGAUUUCACAGAUCACUCGACACGUUCACUCGAGAUACACGGUCAAGUAUGAAAUGAUGCAGAGAAGAAAUUAAGUGUUACUUGACACGAUCACUCGACCGACAGGACCAUUACAACUUUUAAACCGCUUUUACGUUGUCGUUUUAUGUUUUAAGGUUUUCCCAAACACUGUUAUAAAUAGGUCUCAUUUGGUUUGCCCAGGGGAGAGAGUUUAUUUUAUUAGGUUUUUGUUGUUAGCCACCAAACGAUCCUGAGAAUUGUAAUCUUGAGUUAUUGAUAUUUUG